rnacentral:rRNA from 1 species
GAGUAGUGGCGAACGAAAGGGGAACAGCCCAGCGCAUAACCUCCCGGGCUACCAAGCCUGCGGCGGAAUGUUGCGUUAAGGGAAAGGUCGUUAAUAAGCCCUGCACUAUAUGGCCUAAGUUUGGCUUGAAUUUCUCACUGUAUCCUAACGGCUACAACGGCUCCACAGAGGGUGUCAGACCCGUGAGGCCAUGUGAUUAAAUGUGCGUGGGUUCGGCUUUAUUCCCUGAGAGUCGCGUUGCUUGAGCAUGCAGCGCUAAGCAGGUCGUAAACUCGACCUAAGGCUAAAUAUAUUCACAGAACCGAUAGUAAACAAGUACCGUGAGGGAAAGUUGAAAAGUACUCUGAAGAGAGAGUCAAAAGACCGUGAAACCGCUUAGAGUAUAAGCCAAUGGUUUUCUGGAAUGCUGGAGCUCCCCUUGCAAAAUGGUUCCCGAUUGUGGGGUACGUCCUAAGGGUAUCGUGUGUGCGAGAGAACAUGAAGACUGAUGGGCAAUCGAACCGAAAAGUGGCAUUGAGUUGAUACCACGGCAACCAAAUCUCGCGGGUCUCUGACAGUGGUAACAGGGAACGUUCUAAUGAGGAACUGAACCGAGGCUGGGCUUCAGCGAGCAUCAGUUUCUAAGCACAAUAACGAUCGGCUUUCUAGACAGCACACCACAAUCCUUUAUAAGGUCUCCCUCGUGAGGCGGGGUAGAAAAAAGAUUUAUCUUUUAUCUCUCGAGCGGGUCGUGUCGCGUUAUUGCCCUCUAGUGGCACGCUUUGGCAGCGUGUACCUACCCUUUCUUGUAUUGGGUAGGAUAUGCUAGAGGGUCGGCCGAUUUUGCACCUUGCCGUUCCAGACACGAGUGGAAUGAUCCUAUGUGAAGAUUGAUUCUGACCAUCCAAUACCCGCGAGACUUGCUUCAACCGGCUUGUCGAGUAAAUUGCACGAUUGACCUUUCGCGCCUCUCUUGCUUUAAGCUUAAUGGUGGGUCUUUAAUGGAUGAUGGGAGUGCAUUGGCCUUCUCGUCCUUAGAGACUUGCUAAAGGGUUGUCGGAGGGCAGUGAGCGAGAGCUUUCGUUGUGGUAGAGGAUGUUUGGUGCAUUAUUCCAGAGCCAUCGGUCACGUCUCGAAACACGGGCCAAGGAGCAUAGCAUGUGCGCAAGUCUAAGGGAUAAGAAAUCCUGGAGGCGAAGUGAAAGCAAAUGGUGUGUUUACGAGUGUGUUCGCACACGCGUAUUCAGUCUGCGAAAAGCGCAAUUCCUAUCGACCCCUUCGGGGGUUAGUGGACGAAUGCGUCUCGCUGCUUAAACUGGGUUGAUCCUGUUGUAAUCAAGCCUCACUGGCGAUACGUGGGCGCAAACCCCAGGCUCUCUCACUUACGAGGGUAUUCGCGUAUCCUUGAGAGAGCACUGCAGAGCGUGCAUGUUAUAACCCGAAAGAUAGUGAACUAUGCCUGGCGAGGAUGAAGCCCCUGGAAACAGGGG